UGGUGCAUUAAGAAGAAUAUCCAUAGUGUUAGAAAUUUAUAGAACGAUCCAGAGCUUACUGCUAAUGAUGUGUUAACUAGACUAAACCCUACGUAGCAACAUGUUGGUCACACUAUUUUCAACAGGGACAGGAAUUUACUGAUGAUUUAUGGCUGACUAUAAUUGAAAGCUAGUCUGUGAGCAAAAGACACUGCCAAGGCCCUAUCAACCAAAUGAGGUGAGAUUAGACACAAUCAGACUACACAGCUGGUUGUAUCGUUGUUCAUUUUACAUAGGAGAUAAUAAAACUUGAUCUUGGCUUCA